GUGUUCCAACAAUUUAUAUAGGAAUGUAUAUAGGUCACAUACAUAUACUGAAUAAAUAAAAAAUUCAAAUUACAGAUAAAAUAAAUUUUAAUUAAUAAAUUUCUCAUUUAUUUUAAAUUUUGUACAAACUGAUUUUUUUUUCUUCAUUUUUUGUACUAUGUUGAUUGGUUUUAAAAUAGUAGAUGUAGAGCGUACUUCAAUGAAACAGUAACCCAGCUACUGAAAUAACCAGAAAGUCUUAUUCAGUCUUCAAUAAUAGAUGGUUUAUAAAAUAUUAAACUCUAAAUUGUACUUCUUUUUAAGAUAGAAAAGAUUUAAGGGCUAUUCCAGAAAAAAAUGUAUGGGGGGGGGUUGGAAGGCACAUUGUAUUAAUAAUACAUGGGUAAUGGGUAUCAGAGCAACUUUUCACACUAUAAUGCACUAUAAUUCUCAAUUACAAUUGUCUGGGUGGCGGGUGCUGACAAAAACUGCCUUCCAACCCCCCCCAUACAUUUUUUUCUGGAAUAGCCCUAACCUGAACAUGCUGAAGGAUAAGCAGAUAUAAAUCUGAAAUUUCAAAUUUAUUCAGUAAACUUAUGACCAGCAUGCACCAAUAAGAUAUACAGAUAUAUAUAAAACAAUACCAAUAGAACACCAUUGCAUAAAACCUAAAAUAAAAAAUUUUGUUCCUUUUAUUACCUCACUCAUAACAUUCUAAACAAACAAUGAAGUGAAUUUUCAAGUGGAUAUUGGAAAAUCUUGCUAAACAAAAUUAUCAACACUAACUGAUUUGUAUAUUUGUAGAACAUCUGCAUGACUAGCAAUAGCAAAAUUUUAUACCUAUUUUGAUUAGAUUUACCCAAUUUUUCAAAAGUAAAAUUUGAUUAUAAAAACAAAUACAUUAAGUAUAUUGCCACAUUGCCUGUACCUGAGAACAUAACAUUGCUAUUUUUACAUUAACUACAGUCAUGUUAAAAUAGAUGUUUGAGAAAUUAGGUGUUUUAGUUUCCUUCUUGUCUUAAAAAUAGUGGUAACCCUCUGAUAUGUAUGUUAAACAUCUAUUAUCAAUAAUUUGAGGAUCACAGAUACUCUUGCCUGUAGCAAAUGAGAGAUCAUAUUUUUUUUGAAGCAGCAGCAGCAUACUGUGGAAUUUUAUAAGAUUUGGCAUGUUUGCCACAGUUCAAAGGGCUAUUAAAUAAUGAAACAGAUCUUACCUAAUGGUUAUCUUUUCUCUAUUUCAAUUUGAGUCAGGUGCUCACCUAAAUGCUGAUGUUGAGACAAGAAUUUCUCAUAUUAAUUUCAACUUUGAAAAGGGAAAGAAAAGUAAAUUCAUAGAAUAAAGGGGUAUAACUCUGGGUUUUUUUUGAGAAAAAAAAGCUUCAGCUCAGUGAACAAAACAUUCCAUUACACAAUUUCAAAAGUCCUUUGCUCAUUUAUCAUCAAGAAACCACAACAUUUGAUUUUUUCCAACAACAAAGGACCAUAACUCUGAAACAGAAAAAGUAAAAAAAUCCAGAAUGCAAAAGAUUGUCAUAAAUUAUUAAAGUGCAAAACAAUUGGAUAUAUAGAUACGACAAAAUAGCUUUCUGCUGACAGUACAGGCAUAAUUAUAUUUUAAACAAAUACAAACAGAUCAUUUAAAUAUCACAAUUAUAUAACAAUUAUAAAAAUAACAAUUUGAACAAAAUAUGUAGGUCAAUUAGAGGUUAAUGGUGCACAAAACAUAAAAAGCUUUUCCAUUGCUUGCACCUGAUGAAAUUAAUCUCUUCAACAAAAUGCCCAUUAAAAAUAUCAAUAGGAGAAAGAUUACUUUACAAUAUAAUUUAACAUAAUUUAUACUGGGCAAGAAAUCUUAAGUUGAAAGCAAGUAUCUGUCAAAAUGUAUCAAACAAAAUUCACAUAGCACUACAAAAAUCGUCCAUUAUAUUACAAGUUAAAAAUUAAAUAUUCCCUCACAAACCCCUAUAAUUUCUCUAUGAUUAGUUAUAUAUGUAAUACCAGUAGGCCAUUAUAAGGUUAUAGUUUGUCAAAUAAUAUUUUUUUUUAGAAAUUGUAGUUUGAAAUUUGUACUUUAUUUGGGUGUGUUAGUUAAAUUUUGAGGAUUUAUUUUAAAAGUUACUGAUAUUAUUCAAAAUUAAAUAAAUCACCUUUAAUAAAAUAUUAAUCUCUGGCAAUAUAACAUUUGAUGAAUUAAAUGUUCCAAUGAAAUAAUAAAAAGUUUAAAAUAUGGCAUACCUAAUUAAAAUACAACCAAAGACUUUAACAAUUUUGGCAGUAUACAGCACUGGUAUAUGAGAAUAGAUGUUAAAAUGUACUCUUGUGCUGGCCUUUUAUUGUGUUCAACAUCAUAUUUAUUUUUGUAACUAAAUCACUUUCAUGAUGCUAUUAUAUUAUUCCGUCUGCUGAAGGGUUAGCUUUAUGAAAGUUUUCACUGGAAUAUUUAACAUUUUGUCAGUAAUGUAGACUGAAAAUUUUAUUUAAGUUUACAAUGUAUAUAGAGAGUAAAAUAUAAUUUGACAAGACAUGCAUUAUACGUUUUU
rnacentral:lncRNA from 1 species